UUGAAGAGUUUGAUCAUGGCUCAGAUUGAACGCUGGCGGCAGGCCUAACACAUGCAAGUCGAGCGGUAACACAGAGAGCUUGCUCUCGGGUGACGAGCGGCGGACGGGUGAGUAAUGUCUGGGAAACUGCCUGAUGGAGGGGGAUAACUACUGGAAACGGUAGCUAAUACCGCAUAACGUCGCAAGACCAAAGUGGGGGACCUUCGGGCCUCAUGCCAUCAGAUGUGCCCAGAUGGGAUUAGCUAGUAGGUGGGGUAAUGGCUCACCUAGGCGACGAUCCCUAGCUGGUCUGAGAGGAUGACCAGCCACACUGGAACUGAGACACGGUCCAGACUCCUACGGGAGGCAGCAGUGGGGAAUAUUGCACAAUGGGCGCAAGCCUGAUGCAGCCAUGCCGCGUGUAUGAAGAAGGCCUUCGGGUUGUAAAGUACUUUCAGCGAGGAGGAAGGCGUUAAGGUUAAUAACCUUGGCGAUUGACGUUACUCGCAGAAGAAGCACCGGCUAACUCCGUGCCAGCAGCCGCGGUAAUACGGAGGGUGCAAGCGUUAAUCGGAAUUACUGGGCGUAAAGCGCACGCAGGCGGUCUGUCAAGUCGGAUGUGAAAUCCCCGGGCUCAACCUGGGAACUGCAUUCGAAACUGGCAGGCUAGAGUCUUGUAGAGGGGGGUAGAAUUCCAGGUGUAGCGGUGAAAUGCGUAGAGAUCUGGAGGAAUACCGGUGGCGAAGGCGGCCCCCUGGACAAAGACUGACGCUCAGGUGCGAAAGCGUGGGGAGCAAACAGGAUUAGAUACCCUGGUAGUCCACGCCGUAAACGAUGUCGACUUGGAGGUUGUGCCCUUGAGGCGUGGCUUCCGGAGCUAACGCGUUAAGUCGACCGCCUGGGGAGUACGGCCGCAAGGUUAAAACUCAAAUGAAUUGACGGGGGCCCGCACAAGCGGUGGAGCAUGUGGUUUAAUUCGAUGCAACGCGAAGAACCUUACCUACUCUUGACAUCCAGAGAACUUAGCAGAGAUGCUUUGGUGCCUUCGGGAACUCUGAGACAGGUGCUGCAUGGCUGUCGUCAGCUCGUGUUGUGAAAUGUUGGGUUAAGUCCCGCAACGAGCGCAACCCUUAUCCUUUGUUGCCAGCGGUCCGGCCGGGAACUCAAAGGAGACUGCCAGUGAUAAACUGGAGGAAGGUGGGGAUGACGUCAAGUCAUCAUGGCCCUUACGAGUAGGGCUACACACGUGCUACAAUGGCAUAUACAAAGAGAAGCGACCUCGCGAGAGCAAGCGGACCUCAUAAAGUAUGUCGUAGUCCGGAUUGGAGUCUGCAACUCGACUCCAUGAAGUCGGAAUCGCUAGUAAUCGUAGAUCAGAAUGCUACGGUGAAUACGUUCCCGGGCCUUGUACACACCGCCCGUCACACCAUGGGAGUGGGUUGCAAAAGAAGUAGGUAGCUUAACCUUCGGGAGGGCGCUUACCACUUUGUGAUUCAUGACUGGGGUGAAGUCGUAACAAGGUAACCGUAGGGGAACCUGCGGUUGGAUCACCUCCUU
rnacentral:rRNA from 1 species